GCGGAGAGGCGGCCUGCGCGGCAAACGGUAGGCGGCCUGCGCGCAGCGCUGCUGAGCGGCUGGGCCGGCGCUCGCCCGCGUAGGCGUCCGCGGUGCGCAGCGCUUCCGCCUGCAGGGGCCAGCGCCCAGCGGCCAACUGAGCCGGCCAGAUUUCAGAAUGUCGAAAAGAACUAUACAAUCAUACUUUUCAAGUUCAAGUGCUUCAACUCCACACACUAAUGAGAGCACAUCUGAACCAAAGAAAUCUAGAGCGGAGUUUUGUCAUUCAGAUUUAAUUGGGGAUCCUGGAAAACGCAAACCUAUUGAUGAUUAUCAACCUGAAAUUAGAGAUCAAGUAAGGAGGGCAUAUGCUUUGAAUGGUCCAACUCAACCUCGUGAUCUUGUAUUUCCUCGUAAAUGGAUGAGUGGUGAAUUUAGAUCUUUUCAGAAGACUUGGUUUGAUGAAUUUGAUUGGCUAGAGUAUAGUGAGUACAAAGGUGCAGCUUAUUGCUUGUAUUGCUAUCUCUUCUUUAAUUCGUCAAAGCCUGAAAAAUUUGGUAGUUCGGUCUUUGCACAUCAAGGUUAUGUGAAUUGGAAGAAAGCUAAGGAUAUUUUUAAUAAGCACAAUGUUUGCAAGACUCAUGUAGAAGCUAGGCAAAAGUGUGAAGACUUUAUGAACCAAAGGACAAAUGUGGGUAGAAAAUUAGUUCAAGUGGGUAAAGAGGAAGAAAAACGCUAUGAGAUUCGUUUGACAACUUCUUUAGAUGUUGCAAGAUUUCUCAUAAUGCAAGGGGAUGCUUUCCGUGGACAUGAUGAGUCUUCUACUUCGCUUAACAAGGGUACAUUUAGAGAAAUGGUUGAUUGGUACAAAGAUAAGGUUGAGAUAGUGAAGGCGGCAUAUGAAAAAGGUUACAAAAAUUGCCAAAUGUUAUCUCCUUAUGUGCAGAAAGAUCUUACAAAAGCUUGUGCAGAGGAAGUCAUGAGUGUCAUUAUGGAUGAGAUUCGUGGUAGAAAAUUCUCAGUGCUUAUUGAUGAGUCUCGAGAUGUAUCAAUAAAGGAGCAAAUUGCAGUGAUUCUAAGGUUUGUGAAUGAUGAAGGGAAAGUGAUGGAGAGAUUUCUUGGACUUCAGCAUGUUGAGAGUUGUACAGCUAUUGCAUUGAAAGAGGCUUUGGUCCGUAUGCUUUCAAGUCGUAAGUUAUCAAUCUCUAUGCUUCGUGGGCAAGGGUAUGAUGGAGCUUCUAAUAUGAGAGGUGAAUUUAAUGGGGUGCAGAAAUUGAUUCGUGAUGAGAAUACUUAUGCUUUCUAUGUGCAUUGUUUUGCCCAUCAAUUGCAACUAGUGGUUGUUUCUGUCUCAACUUCUAGUGCAGAUAUUGCAGAUUUCUUUAAUUAUGUUCCUUUAAUAGUCAACACUGUGGGUGCAUCUUGUAUGAGAAAGGAUGUUUUGCUUGCAAAGCAUCAUGAUGUGUUGCUAGAAAAGAUUGAGAAUGGUGAGAUUAUGACCGGAAGAGGUUUAAACCAGGAAAGUGGUCUAGCUAGACCUGGAGACACCAGAUGGGGUUCACAUCUUAAAACUUUGCUUCGCAUUUUGGUGAUGUGGGAGGCUAUCAUAGAUGUCCUUGAGAUAGUCAAGAAAGAUUCUGUUAAACCAGCAUGUACUGGUGGAGCUUUAGGUUUAAUUGGAAAAAUGGAGAGCUUUGAUUUUGUGUUCAUCAUGCAUUUGAUGAUAGAAUUGUUGGGCAUGACAGAUAUUUUGUCACGCGCUUUGCAAAGGAAAGACCAAGACAUAGUUGAAGCUAUGCAUUUGAUAACGGAUGUGAAAGAUAUCUUGCAGGAUAUAAGAGAAAAUGGAUGGGAGCCAUUACUCAAAAAAGUGAAAACUUUCUGUGAGAAGAAUGAGAUUGAAGUGCCGGAUAUGGAUGAGGAAAUAAAUAUCAGAGGGACAUCUAGACGUAGGAAGCAAAAGUGGCAACUGCUUCAGUAGAGAGGAUAUUUUCAGCCAUGUCCCUUAUAAAGACAGAUUUGCAUAGUAAAAUGGGUGAUGAAUGGCUCAAUGACUUGAUGAUAUGCUAUAAUGAGAAGGAGAUAUUUAGAAAGAUUGAAAAUGAAAAGAUCAAAAAAAAGUUUGAAGAGAUGAAGAACCGUCGUAUGUUAAUGCCUAAAAAAUUGAUGAUUGCUUCUUCGGAUGAAUAAUGGGUGUCACCGUCACGCCCGUCGUCUAUUAGUCUCGUACUUUGGCUUUUCGGUAUGGAUAAACUGCAUUUUUAUUUUUUCAUGAUGUAUUUUUAAAUUUUCAUCCGUCAUUGAUGUUUCAAUAUCAUAUUGCUUCAAAC